rnacentral:rRNA from 1 species
AUGAUAAAGAAGAUUCCCUCUGAGCACAAUUGCCCUACUACAAAGCUUGUAGACAGCAGAAUGGCAACACAAGGUUGGGUUGUAGAGAAGCUUGUUGAUUGGGUGAAGAAAAACCCAGGAGAGGGAGCAAAGGCAGCGAAAACUAAGUUGGAGGGUGACUUCAACUUCAAGCUGAAGUAUUCCAAAGCAUGGGCAGGUAUGAAGAUAGCUCUAGAACGAAUGCAUGGUAAAUAUGAGGAUAGUUUUCAGUUGUUGUUCAAUUGGAAAGCAGAGAUAGAGAAGAGAUGCCCUGUUAGUAUUGUUGAGAUUGAUUUGGUCAAGGAAAAAAGAUAA